AUUAAAAUACCUCUAUACAGACAAUUGAAAUGGAUCUUAGGGCAAAGUUAUCCUAUGUGGCAAAGUUGGCAUGUUUUACCGGUACGGGAUUAUAGCUAAACAAACUUCCG